rnacentral:rRNA from 1 species
AUGCGGAGCCGGCACAGCCAGAAAUGGCAGGCGCUUAAGGAGCAGCGCAAUUCUGCCAACCAAGUGGACCAGAAGCUAAGGGGCAAGGGUAGCGAGCUGCGCGAAUGGCACGGCAAGCAAUUACAAGUUCUAUUGCGGCAGCAGGAGACGAUCUCCAUGGCAAAGGAGGAUGUCAUUGCCCGGCAGGCCCGCCUGGCGGAGUGCACAACGCUUCUGAACGCCGGAGAGAAAGAUGUCUCCUCACGGGAGGAGAACCUCGCGGCCUCCCUCUGUAGCAAGGACAAAGAAUUGGAGGGCCUAGUCCGGCAACGCACCAAGGAGCUGGAGGACAAGCACAAGGUGGCCCUCGACGCGCUCUCUAGUGAUUCUCCUACUCAGAUGAAGAAAGUGGUCGACGACCUUGCCACUACAUCCAGUGCCAAAAAUGAUCUUGAUCAUCAGGUGGCCAAGUUGAUGGAGGAGCUUGCCGGGAGCACCAAGGAAACCACGGCUCUCAAGGAGGAGGCACAGAAAGCAAAGACCCUUCUGAAAGAGGUGCAAUCCAAGCUCUCCUCCAAGAGCCAAGACCUUGAGACUGCCAACUGCUCCAUAGAUGAUUUUAAGGCCAGGAUUGGCACCCUGGAGAGCUCGAUCGAAUCCAGUGGGUCCAUGAGAAGCAGCUGA